CUGCUGCUAUGAUCUCUGCAACCAGACGGCCGGGGCCUCCGCUGACUCUGCUGCUUACUCAUCUCCUGACUGUUGCUCAGCCAGUCUGAGACUCACCUCUCUCAUCACAAGAAGAAGAAGGAGGAAUUACAAGAUUUCAUCUUCACAGUGUCACAGUGGAUAUACCUGUUGUAUCAAAAGGUGCUUCAUUAGCUCACCAUCUCUAUUCUCAGAAACAAGAAAUCAUGUCCUCAGAGUACAUCUCAGAUUAAAUGGAAUUGCGUUUCCUAGCAUAGGCCAAAUUUACCCAAGGUGUCUGGUGAAGACGUGACCACAGGUACCAAAGUAGUUGUGAGAUGUCAUCUGGAUGCUCUUCCUUGGUCCACGGGCUCUUUUCUGUCCAUGAUAAAGAGGGUAAGUUACCUAACACCCUCUGUUUAGAAUAAUACAGCGCCUCUCUUACUAUAGUAAUAAAGCUUGUCACAUACAUUUGGA